rnacentral:rRNA from 1 species
UACCCGCAGCACAAGUGGUGGUCAUUAUUAUUGGGCCUAAAGCGUCCGUAGCUGGCUUGUUAGAUGCCUGGGUAAAUCGAAGCGCUCAACGUUUCGAAUUCCGGGUAGACCGGCAAGCUCGAGACCGGGAGAGGUGUAGGCUACUCGAGGGGGUAGGGGGUAAAAAUCCUGUAAUCCUUCGGGGGAGGACCAGUGCGAAGGCGCUACACUAGAACGGCUCUGACAGUGAGGGAC